AGAGUUUGAUCAUGGCUCAGGAUAAACGCUGGCGGCGCACAUAAGACAUGCAAGUCGAACGAACUUAACCAUAAGUUCACUUUUGGAGCGGUUAGUGGCGGACUGGUGAGUAACACGUAAGCAACCUGCCUAACAGAGGGGAACAACAGUUAGAAAUGACUGCUAAUACCGCAUAUGCCUUGAGUAUCGCAUGGUACAAGAGGGAAAGGAGAAAUCCGCUGAUAGAUGGGCUUGCGUCUGAUUAGCUAGUUGGUGGGGUAAAGGCCUACCAAGGCGACGAUCAGUAGCCGGACUGAGAGGUUGAACGGCCACAUUGGGACUGAGAUACGGCCCAGACUCCUACGGGAGGCAGCAGUCGGGAAUAUUGCGCAAUGGAGGGAACUCUGACGCAGUGACGCCGCGUGCAGGAAGAAGGUUUUCGGAUUGUAAACUGCUUUAGACAGGGAAGAAGAAAGACAGUACCUGUAGAAUAAGCUCCGGCUAACUACGUGCCAGCAGCCGCGGUAAUACGUAGGGAGCGAGCGUUAUCCGGAUUUAUUGGGUGUAAAGGGUGCGUAGACGGGAAGGCAAGUUGGUUGUGAAAUCCCUCGGCUUAACUGAGGAACUGCAACCAAAACUAUCUUUCUUGAGUGCUGGAGAGGAAAGUGGAAUUCCUAGUGUAGCGGUGAAAUGCGUAGAUAUUAGGAGGAACACCAGUGGCGAAGGCGACUUUCUGGACAGUAACUGACGUUGAGGCACGAAAGUGUGGGGAGCAAACAGGAUUAGAUACCCUGGUAGUCCACACUGUAAACGAUGGAUAC
rnacentral:rRNA from 1 species